rnacentral:rRNA from 1 species
ACGAACGCUGGCGGCGUGCUUAAGACAUGCAAGUCGAGCGGGGGGACCCAGAGCAGCUUGCUGUGAGGGUUCCCUAGCGGCGGACGGGUGAGUAACGCGUGGGCAACCUACCCGCGAAUCGGGGACAACAGUGGGAAACCGCUGCUAAUACCGGAUGAGCUUUUCUGACCGCAUGGUCGGGGAAGGAAAAGACAGCCUCUGCAUAGCAAGCUGUUGUUCGCGGAUGGGCCCGCGUCCCAUUAGCUAGUUGGUGGAGGUAACGGCCCACCAAGGCGACGAUGGGUAGCCG